rnacentral:rRNA from 1 species
UGGGGAAUAUUGGGCAAUGGGGGAAACCCUGACCCAGCAACGCCGCGUGAAGGACGAAGGCCUUCGGGUUGUAAGCUUCUUUGAUCAGGGACGAAACAAAUGACGGUACCUGAGGAACAAGCCACGGCUAACUACGUGCCAGCAGCCGCGGUAAUACGUAGGUGGCAAGCGUUAUCCGGAUUUACUGGGUGUAAAGGGCGUGUAGGCGGUCUUGCAAGUCGGAAGUGAAAUUCCCGGGCUUAACCCGGGCGCUGCUCCCGAAACUGAGAGACUGGAGUACGGGAGAGGAGAGGGGAAUUCCUGGGGUAGCGGUAAAGGGCGUAGAUAUUAGGAGGAACACCAGUGGGGAAGGCGGCUAUCUGGACAGUAACUGACGCUGAGGUGCGAAAGCGUGGGGAGCAAACAG